CAAUCCCAAGGUACCUGCGUGUCUCUCUUUUCUCCUUGGUUACACUGGGUAAAGUGGGAAUUAGGGGAAAUGUGGGAUGGAGAGGGGAAAGACGUGGAGAAUGCUCAGAGAAGAAAACUAAAAACGAAAUCAACAAACGCUAAGACCUUAAAGAUGGACAUGAUGGGGGGGGAGGUUCCUGUUGUGGCUCAGCAGGUUAAGGACCUGACAUAGUGUCCCUAAAGAGGUGGGUUUGAUCCCUGGCCUCACUCAGUUAGUUAAGGAUCCAGCAUUGCUGCAAGCUGGGGUGUAGAUCACAGAUGCGGCUUGGAUUUGAUCCCUGGCCAACUUCCAUAAGCCACAGGUGUGGCUGAAAAAGAAAAAAGAAGAAGAUGGACAUGAUGGAAAAGCUGUAUAUUUUUACAGGCAGUUUAGAUGGAAACUUCAGCCACAAGUUCAUCCAAUUAUUCAGGGCAAGGUAUAGGUUGCAAAGGGUCCUAUUAAGAUAUCCAUUUUUAUAAGAUUUUUUUAGUAUUAUUAACUUCACUAAUAAAACCUGAAGGUAGAUUUCUCUCCAACGAAGAUGUUCAUAGAGGCAUCCCAUAUUAAAGGCUUUGUAGUUGUCCUACUCAACUGACCUGCCAAGGUGUCUCAAUCCAACUACUGAACAAAGACAGUGCUUCAGAUACGUCCUUUUAUCCUGGUGGCCAAUAGUUAAAAAUCUUAUCAGUUACCUUGGAAAAAUAACAUGCUGCUUGUCUGCAGUCGCAUGAAUUCAUUAGACAAGAAAAUAUAAGGGCUAGUUUUAAAGUGAGGGCAUCUAAGUAGCUGAGUACAGACUGCAGAAUGAAGAUUUAGGGCAUUUGGAGGUUAGAAAAUAGAUAUAGUUCAAGGAAAUCAUGCCAAAUAGUCAGAGGUCCCUAUCAUAAGUGGUGAUAAAUUUUGAUUACUUCAUAGCUCCAGUCUUUAAGAAAUCUCACCCAACUCAAAGUUCUGAGCAUACAGUGUAUAUAAAGAAAUUGGGCAACUGAAGGAACUUUCCAGAAAAUGGUAACUCUAUUCCAUGGAUUCCAUCUGCUUUUCACUAGCCUUAGAUAAACUGUUAAGUCUUCGAGGGAUUCUGAAAAAAAUUUACUUUGGAUCUCAAUAUUUUAAAUAAUUUUUUUUGAAAAAGUACAUAUCUAAAAAUGAAGGAAUUUUUUUUCUGAUAGACUGUCACUAUUCUAUUUUGUGUGUGUUAUGUCCACUGAAGGCAAUGCCUACCCUUUUGUUGAGAGAUAUAGAAUUAUUCCAGAAGCUGCAUUUCUAAAUGCAAUUAUUUACCUGGCUUUUCAACCAGCUCUCUUGUAUGAGUUAUUAAUGACACUAUUUUAGUUUUCUGUUUUCCAACUGAAAAAGGCAGCAUACAAUUCAUCAUUAUUUUUAAUACUUACAUAUUAUUCUAUCAUAUGGAGGCCCUGUAAUUUAUUUAACUAAUCUUCUACAGUUAGACAUUUUAAGUAGCUACUGAUUUUUCAACAUUAUAGCUAUCCUCAUGAUAAACAUCCUUAUUCAAACAUAUGAGAAUAUCUCCAAUUACUUCUUUAGGAAAUAUAUGUAGACAUAGGAUUUCUUGGUGAAAGAAAAUAUAUACCUUAAGACUUUGGAUGCAUUUAAUUUGCCACCAAUCAUAAAUUCACCAGCAGUGUAUGUGACUGCCUAUUUCUUCCUAUUUUCAUAAAUACUGGGUAUUUUUUUUUUUAAAAAAAAACCUUUAUCCACCUGACAGCAUGCAUUUGAUUUCAUUACCCUGAUUAUUACUGAGGUUAAAUUUGUUUUGCUUGUUUAGGACAUGGCUCUGCAAAUAAUAGCCCAUCGGUCAAACCUGGCCCAUGGCCUAUUUUUGGCACAGACCUUUGUUAAGAAUGAUUUUUUACAUCAUAAAAGGUUGCAAACAAACAAACAGCAAAGAAGAAUACAUCUAAGAGAUUAUUUAUCUUCAAAAUCUAAAAUAUUUACUACCUAGACCUUUACAGAAAAUGUUAAGAACCCUGGCUCAGAAUGAAAUAAUAAUAAUUAAAAUAUCCAAUAUUAUUAAUCUCUAACUAAAGUAGGGACACUGCUAAAGAUUUUAUAUGCAUUGUUUUAGUUAUUGCCACAGCAGUCCUUCAAAGUAGAUAUCUCUUUAUGACAUUUUAAAGUUAAACAAGCAAGCUCAGUAAAGUUAAGUAAUUUAUCCAAUGCCUCACAGUAAGUGGUGGAUCUGGGAUUCUAACUCAGCUAUCUCCAAAAUCUGUGUAUUUAACAAUUUGCUAAAUUGCACAUGAUUUUGUAAAUUUAUACAUUAAUUUUGAGAAACCUGAAAUCUUUCCAAUACUGGGGCUUCAUAUCAGAUAUGUGAUAUCUCAAUUUAUUUACAUCUUCUUUUAUUUCCUCAGUAAAUUUUGCAGUUUUUUUCCAUAAAGGUACAAGAUACAAUGUAUCUUUUCUUUUCUUUUUUUUCUUUAUCAGCCACACCUGUGGUAUAUGGAAGUUCCUGGGCCAGGGAUCAAAUCUAGACCUCAGCUGCAACCUACACCAUGGCUCUAGCAACGUGGGAUCCUCAACCCACUGUGCCAAGCUUGAAAUCAAACCUGCACCUCCACAGCGCCUGAAGAGCCACUGAAGUUGGAUCCUUAACCCACUGUGCCAUCGUGGGAACUUGUGAUGUAUCUUAAAUGAUUUUGUCCUAGGCAUUUUAUAUUUUGGUUGUAUUCUGAAUAGAAUCGUUUUCCAUUUUCAUAUUCUCAAAUGUUAUUACCUAGGAAAAAAAUUGAGUUGUGUAUUAUAAGUCUGUAACUAGUCGUAUCUGUGGACUUCCCUAAUAGUUGCAGUCAACUUACAUCAGUUCUUUUUAUGUUGUUUAGGUAGACAGUCAUAAUAAUAGGUUUGCUAUCUCAUCUCUGAUAUUCAUAACUUUUCCCUUUGUUUAAUGAUGUCACUGCUUGUUCUCGCAGAAUGAUGUUGGCAGAUAUCCUUGCAUUAUUCUGAUUCUAAUAGGGAAAGGCUAUUUCCUCAUAUUAAUUCAGCAGGAUCCUGAAUAUUGCUUUGGGAUGUAUUUUCAAAUCAUGGUAAGAAAUAGUUGUUCUAUUUUCAUUUGCUAAGAUUUUAUUCUAAAUUUUUGCAGAAUUUUAUUAAAUCUCUACUUGUAUCUAUUUAAGAGUAUUAUAUUAUUUUUACCAUUAGCAUGUUAAUGUGAUGAAUUCUAUUUCUUGAUUUUCUCUCAUCAAACCAUCUUUGCAUUUUAGGAACAAUCAUUAUUUGAUCACAAAAGGUUAAACUUUAAAAAUAUUCCAUUUGUGGAGCUCCCAUCAUGGUGCAGUGGAAAAGAAUCCGACUAGGAACCAUGAGGUUACGGGUUUGAUCCCUGGCCCUGCUCAGUGGGUUAAGGAUCUGGCAUUGCUGUGAGCUGUGGUGUAGGUUGCAGACACGGCUCAGAUCUGGUGUUGCUGUGGCUCUGGUGUAGGCUGGCGGCAACAGCUCUGACUAGACCCAUAGCCUGGGAACCUCCAUAUGCUGCGGGUGCUGCCCUAAAAAGACAAAAGACAAAAAAAAAAAAUUCAAUUUGUUAAUUUUUAAAAGGUUGUUUUAUAUUUGUAUUCCUAAAGGAAUUUGCUCUACAUUUUUUUUUCUCUGAGAUUUUCUUCAUUGUGUAAUUCACUGUAAAAUGGAUUUUGAUAUUUUCUAUGUUUUUGUCUGUUUUUAAAAAUAUUUUUAAAGCACAGAUGGAAAUGAUUUGUCCUUUAAAUGGAUAAUCAGCAGAACUCAUUUGUUAAAAAAUUUAGGACCUAAUGCCAUUUCGAGGGGUAGUUUUUUGAUAAAUAUUCUACCUUCUUACUUUUCAUUGAUCAGGUAGUGUUUUGAGCUAGUUUUGCUAAUUAACUAUCAUCAAAAUUUUAUAUCUUAGUGAAAAGUUACCUGAAGGUUUUAUUUAUAAUUUUUAAAAUAUUUGUAUAAGUGAUUGAAUCUCCAGUGUUAUACCUAACAUUUCACAUGUAUUAUUAUGUUUAGCCUUAGCAGAGGUUUGUCUAUUAACUCGUAUCUUCAAAGAACCAAAUUUUGUUUAUAUGUGAAAGUCAACUGCUUUUCUAUUUUCAAAUUAAUCAUUUUUAUGCUUUUAUUUUUAUAGUCAUAUGUUCUUUCUUUUGCUCCUUUUGCUUUUGUUUUCUAAUGUUCUGAUUUUAUUGCUUUAUCCCCUUAUUUUCAUUAUUUAAUAACCAUAAGAUGAAGUUUAUGGAUUUUCCUCUGAUGAGUACUUUGUUAGUCUUACCCAUGUUUUUAUAUGUAGUAUUAUCAUUAUGAUUCAUUUCUAAUUAUUUUAAUUUUGUUUUUCCUCUGAGAAUUCUUUAGAAAAUGUUUCCUAAUUAACAUAAACUUCUCAUUGUACCCUCACGUGGCGGAAAGCAGGUGAAAGAUCUCUCAAGAGCCCCUAUUAUAAGAGGACUAAUCCUAUUCAUGAGGGUUCCACCCUCAGGACCUAGUAACUUUUUGAAGGUCCUACUGCCUCAUACCAUCACUUUGGGCAUUAGGAUUUCAACAUAUGAAUUUCAGGGAUACACAUGCAGGCCAUAGAAAUUACAUACGAACCUUCCCCAAGUAAUAGAUUGCUAAUAUUACCCAAUAUCUAUUUGUAUUCAAAGUCCCCCAAUUAUCUACACAAAUCUUUUCACUAUUUGCUUGCUUAAAUCGGGAUCAAACAAGCUGCACCACAGCAGCUGGUUUGAGUUUUUCUUUAGUCUUUAAAAGUGUCACUCUGGGACUUCCUGUCGUGGCACAGUGGUUAAUGAAUCUGACUAGGAACCAUGAGGUGGCGGGUUCGAUCCCUGCCCUUGCUCAGUGGGUUAAGGAUCCGACGUUGCCGUGGGCUGUGGUGUAGGUUGCAGACGUGACUCGGAUCCCACAUUGCUGUGGCUCUGGUGUAGGCCGGUGGUUACAGCUCUGAUUCGACCCCUAGCCUUAGAACCUCCAUAUGCUGCGGGAGCCGCCCUAGAAAUGGCAAAAAGACAAAAAAAAAAAAAAAAAAAA
rnacentral:lncRNA from 1 species